rnacentral:rRNA from 1 species
CGCUGGCGGCAGGCCUAACACAUGCAAGUCGAAGGAGAGCCUCUUCGGAUGGUGGAAACUGGCGCACGGGUGAGUAACGCGUGGGUAUCUACCUCGGGGUGGGGAAUAACCGCUGGAAACGGCGGCUAAUACCGCAUACGCCUUCAGAGGGAAAGCUCCGGCGCCCUGAGAGGAGCCCGCGUUGGAUUAGCUUGUUGGUGGGGUAAUGGCCUACCAAGGCGACGAUCUAUAGCUGGUCUGAGAGGAUGAUCAGCCACACUGGGACUGAGACACGGCCCAGACUCCUACGGGAGGCAGCAGUGGGGAAUAUUGGACAAUGGGCGCAAGCCUGAUCCAGCCAUGCCGCGUGUGUGAAGAAGGCCUUAGGGUUGUAAAGCUCUUUCACCUGCGAAGAUGAUGACGGUAGCAGGAGAAGAAGCCCCGGCUAACUCCGUGCCAGCAGCCGCGGUAAUACGGA